GUUGCAGUUACUACCUCUUCAUCCGCCGCCCCCUCCCGCUCCCUCAUUUAACCGGAGCCUAGGCAAUAGAAAAUGCUUCUCCCUAGAAAAAGCCAGCUCCGAAUUAAUCCCCAGAAAGAAGUUCUCUUUCAAAAAUAAACUGGCGCUAAAAAAGGAUCCUGCGGAAUUAUUCAAACAGAGCGAAGAAAAACCCGAAUCUGAUGCGAAUCUUCCGACAAAAGAAAUUAAGAGUUCGCCGGGGAUUAAAAGCAAGAAAGGUGCAGUUUUGGUUAAGAAUUUUAGGGUUUUGGAUGAAGGAAAUGGGGAGUUUACGUUGUCUGAUCUUUAUUCAUGUGAAGUUUACAUAAAGGGGAGAAUUCGGGCAUUGUUUAUUAAUAGGGUUACGAACUGUAGAGGUAGUAAUGUGGGCCGGUGCUUGGAUCGAUCAUGAUCGAAGAGGUGAGAGGAUGUUUGUUUGUGUUGGCUUCUCAUCAGAUCAGGAUUCGUCAAGCGAAGGAGAACGGGUAGAUAUGGUGAAUGCUUCGGAACUAGAGGAGAAUUUUGAUGAUUGUUAGUUCAGCAUUGUUUUAGGACCAGGAUUGGAGCAGUGACGGUGAUGAUAACCAUGGAUCUGAAAGGGGAACCGAUGAGGCAAAACCUGUCCCUCCCCUUAACUCCGCUACCGCUCCAUUGAACGAGGUAGUAGAGCAAGUUCUAUGCCUUUGAAUUAUGAGCGAAUGCAAUUACCCGCAUUUAGUCAGUAAUUAUAAGUCUUAACUGCUCAUUUUGGUUGUCGCAUUGUGAUGCGGAUUGAUGGUUUUGUUUGUUCGUUUGUUUGAUUUAAGGAUUGGGGCAGUGAUAGCGAUGAGAUCAUCGACUUGGACUGGGAUGUCCAUGAGGCAGUGCCAUCAAGGGAGUUAGCAACUUGCAUUUCAACUUACUUUCAUUGCUAUGUUAGGAGAAGUGAAAUAUUUUUAUUAGUCAUGCUAUUCUCUUACUUGCAUUAAGAGGUUGAAGA